UACGGAGGGUGCAAACGUUGCUCGGAAUCAUUGGGCGUAAAGCGCACGUAGGCGGCUCGUUAAGUCGGAUGUGAAAGCCCCGGGCUCAACCCGGGAAGUGCAUUCGAAACUGGCGAGCUUGAAUAUGGAAGAGGGUCGCGGAAUUCCCGGUGUAGAGGUGAAAUUCGUAGAGAUGUGGAGGAAUACCGAUGGCGAAGGCAGCCUCCUGGGCCAACACUGACGCUCAUGCACGAAAGCGUGGGGAGCAAACAGG
rnacentral:rRNA from 1 species